rnacentral:rRNA from 1 species
GACGAACGCUGGCGGCGUGCCUAAUACAUGCAAGUAGAACGCUGAAGGAGGAGCUUGCUCUUCUGGAUGAGUUGCGAACGGGUGAGUAACGCGUAGGUAACCUGCCUGGUAGCGGGGGAUAACUAUUGGAAACGAUAGCUAAUACCGCAUAAAAUUGAUUAUUGCAUGAUAGUCAAUUAAAAGGUGCAACUGCAUCACUACCAGAUGGACCUGCGUUGUAUUAGCUAGUUGGUGAGGUAACGGCUCACCAAGGCAACGAUACAUAGCCGACCUGAGAGGGUGAUCGGCCACACUGGGACUGAGACACGGCCCAGACUCCUACGGGAGGCAGCAGUAGGGAAUCUUCGGCAAUGGACGGAAGUCUGACCGAGCAACGCCGCGUGAGUGAAGAAGGUUUUCGGAUCGUAAAGCUCUGUUGUAAGAGAAGAACGAGUGUGAGAGUGGAAAGUUCACACUGUGACGGUAUCUUACCAGAAAGGGACGGCUAACUACGUG